UUAAGCCUCACGCGACGUUUUACUAGCGCUUUCAGAAGAAAAAACUUUACUGGGCUUACUUUAGCCUUAAACCCUAAAAUUGCAAGAGCAGUAGGGUAUAAAUAGCCUCCAUUUUGAUCCCGCCGGUGCUACAGAGACUCUUCAGUUACUAGCUCUAACUGAGUCGCCAAGAGGAUCCGAUACAAUAUGCUUGAGGAAUUCCCUCUGUGAAUCGAAUCGUUCAGGUUUCCUUCACCUUAUCCGAUUCAAAAAUGGGAGUAACAGGACAGAAUUCAAGGAAUAAAUAAAUGGAUGCUGACCUCUUCAAGGAGGAAGUGGAAGAUUGGGGUAGAGAUAGAGAUGUGUGUCAGAGGCCAGGAAGGUAGGAUGCAGGUGCCGGGUGGAGGAGAGGUAAUGCUUGAUCGACUGGAAGGUGGAGAGAGUAGUAAAGCAAAGACUUAGGGUUUGAGUUAGGACUAUUUGGGUGUUGACAUUGAGGCCUGUGAGGUUGAGAAGCUUUGCAAAAGAGGACAGUUUUUUUGGACAAUAGAGAGAGAGACAGUGACAUGUGGUGUCUUUCUCACUGUGCCAACUUCCUUAUAGUGCGGGCUGCAGUGGGUUCAGAAAAAGAAAAGGUUGGAGCUUGGGGGCCAAUAUACUUUUAUCUAAACAGUUCAUGUGCAUAUUUAUAUAUAAUAUAUGUCAGAUUCCUCUCUGUUUGUAUUUAUAGCUUUCAAGUACUUUACAAUAAGGUUAUAUUCAUUUUUAGUUGCAUUGCCUUGACUUUGGACAACUGCUGAAACUUAUGCAUAUGUGUGUUUGUGUGUGUGUGUGUGUGUGUGUGUGUGUGUGUGUGCAUACUGUUAACAUUCCUUGUUCAGUUAUAAAGUUUGUUUUGUCAAGUGUAUUUCAAAAUGGUUAACAAAGAAAGUAAUAUGAUCCAUUUGGCUUGUGAUGAGCAUGGGCUUUCUUAAUUUGUCAGAUCUGGGUAACUUAGACUUUGUGAAUUUUUUCUGUUGGUUAUGUAUUUUGUGGUGCAGUUUUCUUUCAGAUCCAUGAAGCUUGACAAUUAGAUACAAAUAAUGCACAAUUUAUACAGCUUGAUGUUUUGUUGGCAUUCUUAGAUUGGAUUUGAAAUGCUGAAAUUGUAUAAGCUUUAUGAGAAAGAUUGGUUGAGAAUGGAAGAAUAAUUUUGAUUGGAGCUUAAUGGGUCCAGGGACUGUUGGUAAUCCAAGCAAGAAUAAUGGCAUAGUGGACCUAGUUUCUUUUGCCCUUGAUGAUUCAGAGAUAUUUCAUUUGUUUAGAUAUUGCUUCUCUGAAGCUUGCCUAUCAGCUGGGCAUAAGACAAAUAGCAAAAUUAGGUUAGUACUAGUAUUUAGGAUUAUUGAAAGCUGAAGGUGGAAUACUUUGGGCUGUUUGCAUUGCAAGUUUUUGUAGUGUUAACAAUAAUAGUUGAAAUUUUAGGUUAUUUUGGUGUUAAUUGGGGUAAAUAAUUGGAAUUUGCAAAGUUUCCUUGCAGAAGGAAAAACAGUCAAAGUUCCAUAACUAAAUUCUUUAGGCAUCACACCUAUGUUCAGAAUGAUAUCAUACAACCCCAUAGAAAAACUGACAUUGCAAAAUUCUCUGACGGCAGCUCUCUCUAAUUAAAAGAUAUGCAUACCUUGACUUACAGCAUCAAUGGAAAGAAAAAGAAAAAUUGGAGGGGUGGGAGGGGUUGGGUGGGUUCCUUUUCUUGUUUAUGAUUCUUUCUCAAUUUUACUAAGAUCUCUAUAUGGAGGGCAACUGCAACUUGAGAUUGUAGGAAUGAGGUAAGGGCAGCUGUAUAAUGUAAGUUUCAACCAUGUUAUCAGAACAAAUUGUCCCCAUAUUUUGAUCUUUUUGGGUUGAUGAAUUUUAGUAAAAGAUUUGCAAGUCUCUACAUUGAUUUUAUUGCACUUCUAACUUCUAAUGUUACCUUUUCGUGUUUAGGAUUUUGAUAACCCUAAUCUUAUCAUAAAUGUCAUAAACAAGUGACAAUAAUUGGUCUUUCACGUGCAAUUGGAAACUUAGUUUGGUUGUUGUUUUCUAUCUUGACUAGAGAACAAACAUAAUCAUGGAGUUUAGGUGAGGGUCCAAUAAGUUAAAAUAUGUGUGGAAAAAAAAAUAUUACAUAUAUAUAUGUCAGAAAUUUCCAUGGCCAUGAAAUGAAAACAUUAUUCUUGGAAUAAUUCCGUUAUUUCCUCUCCUUUUCUGUACUGUAUCCUUCACUUUUUAUUGAGUUUUAUGGAAAUUAGGGUUGUGUAAUUUCGGUUUUGGUUCGGUUCUUUGUAAGAAUCAGAACAUUCGAACCGAAACUAAACUUUGGUUCUUUCAUUCUUUGGAAUCAAAAGAGGAACCAAAUUUCGGUUCCGGUUCCAGUUUCGGUUCGGUUCUAAGUACUUUCGGUUCCAAUUAGGUUUUAGUUUCGAUUCUAUUUUCAGUUUUAGUUUUGAUUUUGAUUCGAUUCAGUUAUUGGUUCCUACACUUAAAAUUGUAAUAUUAUUGUAUUCCUUUUAAAAGAAUAAAAACAAUUAUAUAUUUCUAAUAUGAAAAUAUUAAAAUAAAAUGUCAAUAAAUUAACAUAAACAUAAUAACUUAUUCAAGAGAAAUAUUAAAAUUGAACUAAUAAUUCUCACAUAAAAAUAUAAGAUAAUACUAAAUAUCCAUAAUGUUGGCACUAAGUGUGGAUAGCUUAGUGGGUCAACAUUUUGUCCAGGUCCCUUUGACUUAUGGUGCUUAGAUUGUUAUGUCAUAAGAUGUUAGAGUUGUGCUAUUGCUAAAAGUAUAAACUUUUGGCACGGUGUUAAUUGCUUGAUUCUACAAUUGAAAUUACAUCCAAUGUAAUGGGUUUAAAUCCCUUAUAGGUUCUGGGGGUGGACUAUUGGCAUUGAAUGAGAAUAGCUCAGUGAGCUAGCAUUUUACUCAAAUCCAUUCAAUCCAUAGCGUUUGGGCUGCUAUGCUAUAAUGGGUUAGAGUUGCGUCCUGCUAAAAGUUUAAUUUUUUGUAUGGUGGUAAGUGUUCGAUGCUAUACAUAAUAAGUCAUAUAAUAUAUUCAUCCAAAUUAUUAAAUAACAGCAAAUCAAUAGGUAUAAUAUGAAUUAGGACCAAUGUAACCUAAAUCAAGAGUACAAAAUUAUGUAAUUUUUGACUUUAGAGAAAUUUUUUAUUAUAUUUUCAUUUAACUAUUUAAAGUUUAAAUUUUGUUGGACAAUAUAUAAUUUUUACUAAUUUAAAUUUUAAUUCAAAAUAAUAAGUAUUAAAAAUAAAUUUAAUUUUAAUAUAGUAAAUGUUGUUUAUAAAAAUUUGGUAAAUUAUAAUUAAAUUUUUUUAAAAUUAAAAAUAAGAUAAUUAAUGUGAUCUUAAAUUUAGUGAAUUUAAUUAUUAACGCUGACUUUUAAAUAUUGUUUUGGCUCAUACUCUCUACUAUGAUCAUAUAGGCAUAAAAUAUUUUAUUUGAAUCGCAUCGUUGAUAUCUUGAGUUGGUCAUAAUUCAAUCUCAUUAAAUAUUACGUACAUAAAUUAAGUCACUUAAUAAAAUAUAUUUUAAUAAAUAUAUUAUUCUAUUAUCUUAUACAUACUUUUCAUUUAUAUAAUUUUUAACAAAAAAGUAUGCUACAUUUUAAAAAGAUGAUUUAAUAAGAUAAUUAACAACUAUGAAGUGAUUUAAUGUAUUUAUAAUUAAAAUAAUAAAAGUUAAUAUUGGGUGGCAUUUAUAUACUUAUAAUUAAUAACAUAAGUUAUAUAUAAAAUCAUCUUAAUUACAUAUAAUGUAUAUAAUUUUAUUGAAACUAUGUAAUAUAUCUAAUAUAUAUAUAUAUAUAUAUAUAUAUAUAUAUAUAUAUAUAUAUAUA